GGAGGGUGGCGCGCAGUGGUGUGCAACCGGUCUCGAAAACCGGGCUAACCUAACGGUUAAGGGUUCGACUCCUUCACCCUCCG
rnacentral:tRNA from 1 species